GAUGAACGCUGGCGGCGUGCUUAACACUUGCAAGUCGAACGGAAAGGCUCCUGCUUGCAGGGGUACUCGAGUGGCGAACGGGUGAGUAACACGUGGGUGAUCUGCCCUGCACUUCGGGAUAAGCCUGGGAAACUGGGUCUAAUACCGGAUAGGACGAUGGUUUGGAUGCCAUUGUGGAAAGUUUUUUCGGUGUGGGAUGAGCUCGCGGCCUAUCAGCUUGUUGGUGGGGUAAUGGCCUACCAAGGCGUCGACGGGUAGCCGGCCUGAGAGGGUGUACGGCCACAUUGGGACUGAGAUACGGCCCAGACUCCUACGGGAGGCAGCAGUGGGGAAUAUUGCACAAUGGGCGCAAGCCUGAUGCAGCGACGCCGCGUGGGGGAUGACGGCCUUCGGGUUGUAAACUCCUUUCGCUAGGGACGAAGCGCAAGUGACGGUACCUGGAGAAGAAGCACCGGCUAACUACGUG
rnacentral:rRNA from 1 species